AAAAACGACUCUCGGCAACGGAUAUCUUGGCUCUCGCAUCGAUGAAGAACGUAGCGAAAUGCGAUACUUGGUGUGAAUUGCAGAAUCCCGUGAACCAUCGAGUCUUUGAACGCAAGUUGCGCCCGAAGCCAUUUGGCUAAGGGCACGUCUGCCUGGGCGUCACGCA
rnacentral:rRNA from 2 species